AGAGAGAGGGAAUUAAAUGGAAAAUAUAUUUAAUGAUAAAUAUUAAAUACCAGCUGAAGGUGAAAAUUUGUGUGGAUGGGUGUUUCUAAUUUUAGGUAUUGAGGAACGCUGAUAUGAGUAUGGAACUUGUCAGCUUAAGAAUGUUAAUUAGCCAAAGAAUUUUUGGUGAUGGACAUCCUGAUAUAAUAUUCAUUAAGAUAUCUGAAGAUUGAAUCAAUUGAAAUAUUGGGAAAAAUUGUGUCACAGAGCCGAUAAUGCUGAAAACUUUCGAUAGAGGGCGCAUGAUCGCUGAAUUU